AAAAGCUUGGUCCUGGCUUUUCUGUCAUCUCCGGCUAAAUUUACACAUGCAAGUAUCCGCACCCCUGUGAGAAUGCCCCACAGUCCCCCUCCCCGGGGACAAGGAGCUGGUAUCAGGCACACUACAUGCUCGCCCACGACACCUUGCUCAGCCACACCCUCAAGGGAAUUCAGCAGUGAUAAACAUUAAGCCAUAAGUGAAAACUUGACUUAGUUACAGCCCCCAGGGCCGGUAAAACUCGUGCCAGCCACCGCGGUUAUACGAGAGGCCCAAGCUGACAGCCCCCGGCGUAAAGAGUGGUUAAGUUAACCCCAACAUGACUAAAGUCGAACGCCCCCAAGACCGUUAUACGUGUUCGGGGGUAUGAAGCCCAAUUACGAAAGUGGCUUUAAAACACCUGACCCCACGAAAGCUGUGAAACAAACUGGGAUUAGAUACCCCACUAUGCUCAGCCCUAAACUUUGAUAGUCUAAUUACACCCACUAUCCGCCUGGGUACUACGAGCUUUAGCUUAAAACCCAAAGGACUUGGCGGUGCUUAAGAUCCACCUAGAGGAGCCUGUUCUAUAACCGAUACCCCCC
rnacentral:rRNA from 1 species